AGGCACAAGAAAUUUGUUUCCUGAGGAAAGGCUAGAAAAGUCCCUUAUUUGAAAAAUUUAAACUUCCACAAAAGGGUGUUUGUCCCUUUGCUAGAUCCUCGCACCUCCCCCUGGGAUUUGGUGCUGUCUCUUUGCUGCUCAAGGCCAACCCAAAUGUCCACCUUCUCUUCUAUUAAAACAUAUGCAGAGUUCCCCUUGUGGUUUGUGUCACAAUGAUCCUCUAAAAGGCUACGUUGAUAUCCAGUGAGAGGCCUGCCCAGACUCAAGCCCAGUACCUGUAUUGAUUCAAGUACCCUCUGAGGCCAGGGAGGGGUCAUCACAGAGUUGCUCUGAAAGGUAGGCUUUGGUAAGGAGCAAGAUUUAUCUUGAAUCCUGGUCCCAUAUUGACUGUGUGACCUUGGCCUAGUUAUUUAAUCUUUAUGAGCCUGUGUUCUCAUCUAUAAAAUUGGGGCAGAAAUACCUGGCAGAAAUUAUACGACACUGUGAAUAGAAAAUGCAGCACUGUACUUGGUACAUAGAAGUUAAUCAAUAAAUAAAAAACUGCAAUUUCCUGGCUCA
rnacentral:lncRNA from 1 species